AACCAGCACCUCAAGUGGUCAGGAUGAUUAUUGGGCCUAAAGCAUCCGUAGCCGGCUUUGUAAGUUUUCGGUUAAAUCCAUGUGCUCAACGCAUGGGCUGCCGAAAAUACUGCAUGGCUAGGGAGUGGGAGAGGUAGACGGUACUCAGUAGGAAGGGGUAAAAUCCUUUGAUCUAUUGAUGACCACCUGUGGCGAAGGCGGUCUACCAGAACACGUUCGACGGUGAGGGAUGAAAGCUGGGGGAGCAAACCGGAUUAGAUACCCGGGUAGUCCCAGCUGUAAACGAUGCAGACUCGAUGAUGCAUUGGCAUAAUAGCCAGUGCAGUGUCGCAGGGAAGCCGUUAAGUCUGCCGCCUGGGAAGUACGUACGCAAGUAUGAAACUUAAAGGAAUUGGCGGGGGAGCACCACAAGGGGUGAAGCCUGCGGUUCAAUUGGAGUCAACGCCAGAAAUCUUACCCGGAGAGACAGCAGAAUGAAGGUCAAGCUGAAGACUUUACCGGACAAGCUGAGAGGUGGUGCAUGGCCGUCGCCAGCUCGUGCCGUGAGAUGUCCUGUUAAGUCAGGUAACGAGCGAGAUCCCUGCCACUAGUUGCUAUCAUUAUUCUCAGGAAUAGUGGGGCGAAUUAGUGGGACUGCCGUUGUUAAAACGGAGGAAGGAAGGGGCUACGGCAGGUCAGUAUGCCCCGAAACUCUGGGGCCACACGCGGGCUGCAAUGGUAGUGACAAUGAGUUCCAAACUCGAAAGAGAGUGGCAAUCUCUAAACGCUACCACAGUUAUGACUGAGGGCUGUAACUCGCCCUCACGAAUAUGGAAUCCCUAGUAACCGCGUGUCAUUACCGCGCGGUGAAUACGUCCCUGCUCC
rnacentral:rRNA from 1 species